rnacentral:other from 1 species
AGCCUCCUGGAAUGUACGCCAGCUGGUGUCGUCCUUGAGCCGUUAGAGAAAUAACAGGAGAUUCCGGCGUGCGUGCCGGUGUGCAGGUCCGAUACUGACGCCACCCCUUUGGGGCAGCGUCGGGUUGGGAAGCCUGAGGCAUCACCUGGGUCUCCGCCUUGAACCAUAACGGUUCAGGGCCAACCAUGCAGCGGCAUUUUGGGAGGCUU